rnacentral:rRNA from 1 species
UACGAAGGGGGCUAGCGUUGUUCGGAAUUACUGGGCGUAAAGGGCGCGUAGGCUGUUUUGUAAGUCAGAUGUGAAAUCCCCGGGCUUAACCUGGGAACUGCAUUUGAUACUGCAAGACUAGAGAUUGAGAGAGGUAAGUGGAAUUAUGAGUGUAGAGGUGAAAUUCGUAGAUAUUCAUAAGAACAUCAGUGGCGAAGGCGGCUUACUGGCUCAAUACUGACGCUAAGGCGCGAAAGCGUGGGGAGCAAACAGG